AGUCGAGAGAGUGAAUCAUCGAAUCUUUGAACGCAUAUUGCACUUACCGGCCCGUGCGCCGGUGAGUAUGCCUGACUGAGUAUAGGUAACACACUUAUUAUCACGGCGUGUGACCAAGCCGUAUUUAGACGGUCGGGACACGCAGGUGGACAUGGUCCAUGGGUUAAUAUAGGAUCAAGGCUGCUUUUACAGCGGUCUAGUCAAGUAUAUAUACCCUGCGACUAAAAGGUAUGGCAAGUGUAUGUUGGCCAACGGGCGCUCUAGUAUGGACACGCCGCGCAGUAUGGAUACGAACCGGAAACGGGGACCCCCACUGUGUGCGCGCUGAUCAGAACGACGUAUAUAAACUGUGACCGGCAUGCCAAGCCCCUGGAACCCCUACUACUCUUAUCUCAGGUCAGGCAAGACUACCCGCUGAACUUAAGCAUAUCAAUAAGCGGAGG
rnacentral:rRNA from 1 species